GGCGGCGUGCUUAACACAUGCAAGUCGAACGAUGAAGCCCUUCGGGGUGGAUUAGUGGCGAACGGGUGAGUAACACGUGGGCAAUCUGCCCUUCACUCUGGGACAAGCCCUGGAAACGGGGUCUAAUACCGGAUAUGAGCCUGGGAGGCAUCUCCCGGGUUGUAAAGCUCCGGCGGUGAAGGAUGAGCCCGCGGCCUAUCAGCUUGUUGGUGAGGUAAUGGCUCACCAAGGCGACGACGGGUAGCCGGCCUGAGAGGGCGACCGGCCACACUGGGACUGAGACACGGCCCAGACUCCUACGGGAGGCAGCAGUGGGGAAUAUUGCACAAUGGGCGAAAGCCUGAUGCAGCGACGCCGCGUGAGGGAUGACGGCCUUCGGGUUGUAAACCUCUUUCAGCAGGGAAGAAGCGAAAGUGACGGUACCUGCAGAAGAAGCGCCGGCUAACUACGUGCCAGCAGCCGCGGUAAUACGUAGGGCGCAAGCGUUGUCCGGAAUUAUUGGGCGUAAAGAGCUCGUAGGCGGCUUGUCACGUCGAUUGUGAAAGCCCGAGGCUUAACCUCGGGUCUGCAGUCGAUACGGGCUAGCUAGAGUGUGGUAGGGGAGAUCGGAAUUCCUGGUGUAGCGGUGAAAUGCGCAGAUAUCAGGAGGAACACCGGUGGCGAAGGCGGAUCUCUGGGCCAUUACUGACGCUGAGGAGCGAAAGCGUGGGGAGCGAACAGGAUUAGAUACCCUGGUAGUCCACGCCGUAAACGGUGGGCACUAGGUGUUGGCGACAUUCCACGUCGUCGGUGCCGCAGCUAACGCAUUAAGUGCCCCGCCUGGGGAGUACGGCCGC
rnacentral:rRNA from 1 species